UACGUAGGUGGCGAGCGUUGUCCGGAUUUAUUGGGUUUAAAGGGUGCGUAGGCGGCCCUAUAAGUCAGUGGUGAAAUAUCGCAGCUUAACUGUGAGGGUGCCAUUGAUACUGUAGGGCUUGAGUGAAUUUGAGGUAGGCGGAAUUGACGGUGUAGCGGUGAAAUGCUUAGAUAUCGUCAAGAACACCGAUAGUGAAGACAGCUUACCAAGCUUCAACUGACGCUGAUGGACGAAAGCGUGGGGAGCGAACAGG
rnacentral:rRNA from 1 species